GACGAACCGUCCUAACGUUGUUCGGAAUCACUGGGCUUAAAGGGCGCGUAGGCGGCCCUUCGAGUCGGGGGUGAAAUCCCACGGCCCAACCGUGGAAGGGCCUCCGAUACUGAAGGGCUCGAGGGAGGUAGGGGCAGGUGGAACUUCCGGUGGAGCGGUGAAAUGCGUUGAUAUCGGAAGGAACGCCGGUGGCGAAAGCGACCUGCUGGACCUCUUCUGACGCUGAGGCGCGAAAGCCAGGGGAGCGAACGGG
rnacentral:rRNA from 1 species